rnacentral:rRNA from 1 species
AUUGAACGCUGGCGGCAUGCCUUACACAUGCAAGUCGAACGGCAGCAUGAUCUAGCUUGCUAGAUUGAUGGCGAGUGGCGAACGGGUGAGUAAUACAUCGGAACGUGCCCUGUAGUGGGGGAUAACUAGUCGAAAGAUUAGCUAAUACCGCAUACGACCUGAGGGUGAAAGUGGGGGACCGCAAGGCCUCAUGCUAUAGGAGCGGCCGAUGUCUGAUUAGCUAGUUGGUGGGGUAAAGGCCCACCAAGGCGACGAUCAGUAGCUGGUCUGAGAGGAAGAUCAGCCACACUGGGACUGAGACACGGCCCAGACUCCUACGGGAGGCAGCAGUGGGGAAUUUUGGACAAUGGGGGCAACCCUGAUCCAGCAAUGCCGCGUGUGUGAAGAAGGCCUUCGGGUUGUAAAGCACUUUUGUCCGGAAAGAAAUCGCACUUACUAAUAUUAGGUGUGGAUGACGGUACCGGAAGAAUAAGGACCGGCUAACUACGUGCCAGCAGCCGCCGUAAAAC